UGAGGAAUAUUGGUCAAUGGGGGCAACCCUGAACCAGCCAAGUCGCGUGAAGGAUGAAGGUCUUAUGGAUUGUAAACUUCUUUUAUACAGGAAUAAAUUGGGGGACGUGUCCCCUUUUGCAUGUACUGUAUGAAUAAGGAUCGGCUAACUCCGUGCCAGCAGCCGCGGUAAUACGGAGGAUCCGAGCGUUAUCCGGAUUUAUUGGGUUUAAAGGGUGCGCAGGCGGGAUGUUAAGUCGGCGGUGAAAUUUUGCAGCUCAACUGUAAAAGUGCCUCCGAUACUGGCUUCCUUGAGUGUAGAUGAAGUAGGCGGAAUUUGUGGUGUCGCGGUGAAAUGCUUAGAUAUCACGAGGAACUCCGAUUGCGCAGGCAGGUUACUAAACUACAACUGACGCUCAUGCACGAAGGCGUGGGGAUCAAACA
rnacentral:rRNA from 1 species